rnacentral:rRNA from 1 species
UACGGGGGGAGCAAGCGUUGUUCGGAUUUACUGGGCGUAAAGGGCGCGUAGGCGGUCAGCACAAGUCAGUUGUGAAAUCUCCGGGCUUAACUCGGAAAGGUCAACUGAUACUGUGCGACUAGAGUGCAGAAGGGGCAACUGGAAUUCUCGGUGUAGCGGUGAAAUGCGUAGAUAUGACAUAGAACACCAAUUGCGAAGGCAGCUGGCUACACGAAUAUUGACACUGAUGCACGAAAGCGUGGGGAUCAAACAGG